UGAGAAGAGAAGGCCUUUGCACCAUCAACUUUCUCAUAUGCUUUGUUACUAAGAUUACAUUCUCUUGAUUUCAGAUGUCAAGGGACAGGGUCCUAAGGGGACUGGCUAUAGGAGCCACCUAUUCUGACCUGCUAAAUUAAGAGAGCUGAUGCCUCAAUUUUGGAGCACUGAGGUCAUAUGAAAGGUAUUUGCUGGAUGAGAGAAGCCAGUGGAUUUGGAGAGAGGCAACAACACAUGAAUAAAGGGGUCUAAUUUAGAGCUCUGAAGACUGAUGCCUGUGACCCCAGCUAUGAGAGGAUCAGAGAGAACCUGAUUUCAGAGACCUGCUUUGCUUGGGAGAACCAGAAGGCUGCCAGGGCAGUGGUCACUCAGAUCUGUUUAUGAUAAUGAAGAUGGAUGAAGCGUGCCUACCAUGACCUGCUCAAGCCACGUGACUGUGUUGGAGUUCUGGAGAAGGGUUACUUCUGAGGGCAGCACUGAAAGCCCAGAACCAACUCUGAGGUGCAGCUCAGUUAGGAGAGCUGAGGUCAGGGGUCCUGGGCUCCUGUUGGGGCUGGUCUGUUGGGGGGAAACCAGCAAGCUACCAUAAAGGAGCACAUACUUCACUGAUUUCUCUCCAUCCCUAUUCCAUUCUACUCCGUUUCCCUCCUACCUCCCUGCCAGCCAGUCCCACAGCUAAAUCAGCCACCUUACAGCCCUGAACAAGCUGCCUGCCCCACCGGACAUUCUCUCAUGUCGCUGCCUCAAAAUUCCUGCAGAUUUUGAUGAGGUAUGGACAUUCAGAAGCCUGAGAAACUGCUGCUUCAUCAAAAUUGUAUCUCCUACUUUAGUUUGCUAUUGUAGACUAGAGUGAAAAUGACAGAAUUUAUAUACCUGAGUCAUCAAGCUGGGACAGUUGGUCUGGAAGGGCUGUUGCUCUAAUUGUUGGCCUCUAUAGACAGCCCAAGCUGAAUGGGACAUAAAAACGUGUGACCAGCCAGAAAGUGAAGGCUAAAGGCCAGGGGAAACAUGGGGGCAUGGUUUGUAGUUCAUGUAAUUGACAGGGCAUAAAAAGAAGAGAAGGUUGGAAACUAGAGUGAAUAGUGGUAACUAUAGUUGUCGCCUGUUCAACGAGCUUUCCUAUCCUCUUCUCCUGCUUCCUUUGUUGAACUCCUCCUGUACUCCACAUAGUCUGAGUAAGGCUAUUAAUCAGAGUAUAUCUCUUCCAUACUCCAUCCCCACUCUGCAAAACUACAAAGCUCACAGGGAUGGGCACAUGGCUGUGCACCUAGGUCAGGCCAAUGUUCUCUUUGGAAUGUCUCUGUGGGAGCUAGCACAGAAGGCUGCUAGGAAAACAUCAUGAACAGCAGAGACAAAUGGAAGAAAGAGAAAUAGGCGGGUGGGAAGAGGGAGAGAGGAGACAAAGACUGAAUUGAUAUUGACAUUGUUAGAGCUUCUGGAUCCAGCCAUGCUAGAUCUACCUCUUGACUUCCCAGUUAUUUGAAUCAAUAAACUUCUUUCCCCUUGCAUAAGAUAGAUUGAGAUUGAUUUGGACAAAAUGUGUCCUGAUGAAUUUACCAAGGUGGGCCAGAGGACAAAUGGAGCAAGAUUAGAUGAUUUAGGAACUGAUGAAUCAAAUACUGGGCAUGUUUAGGAAUCUCUCUACUGUGAGUCAGAGAUAACUCACCAAAGGAGCUCUACUUUCUUAGACAGAAACAGAGCUUGUAAAACCCAAGACUGUGAAUAGGAAAAAAAAAAAAAAAGAGAGAGAGAGAGGUCUUCAAAGCUCAUUCAACUUUUGUUUAAUUAUUCCAACAGUGAAAUCUAUCUACAACUGUCUAUGUCAUAUGCAAAUGGUGAUCACCAUAGGACAUUGUUUAGACCUAUCAUACUGAAAAAGACCCAGCAAAAAAACUAGGGCUGGUGUGGGGCAUCUCUGGGUGAAGUGGGUAUCAUGCACUGCUGCUAGAAUAAUCAACUGGCUCACUUUCUAAAAGAGCAUUUUGUACUAUGUACUAAAAUCCUAAAAAUAUACCUAUUUUUGACCUAAUAAUUCUGAUGUUUCAGGUCUAGUACAGGCUCCCAUCUGCCCAAGAGGGACUUUGAAGAAUAAAUUUCCAAGUUAAAAGAAUCCAUUUACAUAAUGAUAAGAAGAAUACCUAAGUUGAGAGCACUCGUGCCAUUUGUUACCACAAUUCCGCUUCUAUGUUGGAGGGAUCUAGCAAGCACUACUCCUUAUUAUUAUAGCAAAGAUAAUUGCUUUUGUAUUUUUGGCUUGCACUUUAAGUAGUAAAUGUACUCUGGAAAAGGUAUACAUUGCAAUCAAAUGAAUAAACUACAUCCACCUCACCUCCACUGACUAUACGCUCCUCAAGGGCCAGCAUUUGUGUUUAUUUUGUUUACUAUUUUGUCCCUACUACCUGGAACAGUGACUGCAAUAAAUACUUAUUGAAUGAACUAAUGAAUAAGCAUUUUUAGAAAAUGACUGGGAAAGAAGAAAAUCACUAUUGUACUUCCUUUUUCCUGUGAGUGUUGUGGCUAUAAAGAUUAGUGCUUUAUACAUUUUAUACAUUUUAUUUAUUUAUGCUUUAUACAUUUUAACUCAGAAUUAUGUAUAUGGAUUAAUAAAGUAACAGUGGGAGGUUAGAAUGUUUGAACUUGAACAUAAUGUUUCUGGAAUGUUUACAGUUACUUAUAUGUUCACAAUUUUUAGGAAAAAAAUAAAACUCUUCCUCCACUGUAAACAUUUCUAGGAAUAUUACAUUGGGUUAAUAAAUAUGAAAGGUUAUUGUUCUUGAUUGUAAUUAGGGUAUGUGAGUCAGGUUUUGUGCAGGUGCUGAUCAGUCAACAGAAGGUAGACAGUUGGCUCAUUAUGUAUGCUCAUUUCAGGGGAGCUGCUGAUAUUUCAUAGGAGAUUAAGGAUCCAGUUUUAGGUGUUAUGGAUACCUAAGCCUUUUAGUUAAAGAAAUACACCCUUAAUGGCAGGCUUUUAGGUAGUCUAACUCCAAUUCCUGGCAGAACUCUCUAUUAAAUUUGAAUGCCUACAUUUAUUUAAUUUCAGUUUCAAAUCUGCUUGGGCACAGAAAGUGAGAUUCUAUUUCUAUUUAAGGCCUCUUCCACCCUGGUUCUAUAUAUACAAUGAGCUCUUAGUUUUAGGGGGUAAUUUUACUUUGAAGCUCUAUGAUAUUACAGUUUUCUCCACUUCCCAGACAGCUCUUAGUAUUAGGUGUAAUUAUAUAUUCUAUAUUUUGGGGACAAUCAUCAAUAAGGUUAAAGUCACUCUCUUCCAAAAACAAGUUACUGGGUGGUGGAGUUGAGAGUGGGGCUGACUUUACCCUCCACUGGGGUGAUUCGACACAAGGAACCUGUUGCCUUGGCCUGGCACUAUCUGUGGAUCUGAAAAUCCAAUACAAGACAUUUCCUGGCACUUUACCAAGGAUGCCUGUUACCUUUUGGACAGAAGAAAUUUGAAAAAUCAUCCCAUAAGGGGUAGAAAGGAAUGACAUAAAUGGUCCUAUUAAAGGGAAGUCACUAUCUGAGACGACUGCAGAAAAACUACAUGCAAUCGCUGCAGAGAUUAAACUCCUGAAGGUAUAAUACCACCAACCUCUUCACGAGCUCCUCAGAGUAAACAACCUGCCUACCUCUUCCUCCUCCUCCAAAUGUGUAGUGUGUGCAAGAUACAUUUUAAAAGACUGCAGUAUAGAGAGAACUUCAAUGUGAUGGGGAAAAAAUCCGUUCAGCACCUAUUCUGCAGAUGAAGACAGCAUUAGGCAGCAAUUCUUUACUUACAGAAAUAGUUGUUUCAAUCUUUCUUUCAAAAUGUUGAGCAAAACAUAGGUAAAGUCGUUCCUUUCUGGUGACUCUACAGUGAACUGUUGGAAUCUUGCUUGAGGUAGUGCAGCAAGAAAAACAAGUUGAUCAUCCCCAUCUGUUAGGCAAUCAGACCUGGGGUAUCUGUAGCUGUCAUGAUCAUUAGGCAUUCAAAGAUAGCACUAAAAUAGCACUAAGAAAUUAUUCUGCUGAUUCAAAAAGAAGCUAUUUUGUAGCCCCUCCAUCAGCACACUCCACAUUCACCAGGGCCCCAAAUGCAUCCUUGAGUCUGGAGCCUCAUAGAGACAGUUUUGUGAGUCUAGUUCAGGCUAUUUUUUAUUUUAUGGGGCCCCCAUACUGAUUCAAUCUUAUUCUCAGCUGUACUGAUUGACUUGACUGCACUAUUAAGGCUUGUUGAACUGUUUUGAUAUCAACAAUUCUCUCUUCUCAGUAGAAAGUCCGAGGUUUUUAUUUAAAGCUUGCUUUCUAUAUCUGUCAGAGAUCACCUGAAAUAUUAGGCUUCUUUUUUUCUUUUUUUAUCUUAUCUAGUAUCAGUUCCCUUGUUCUUCAGAUAGCUGUAGAAUCAGACUUAGCCUCACACAGACCCAAAUUCUUGCCCUUAUAGUAAAUAGCAUAUUAGGAGCAGCCAGCCAGAUGCCAUUUGCCCUGGUGUCAGGCAGUUUUUGAGGAGUGGUCCUAUUUCUAUGUUUAAUAUUUCACUUCCUGGAUUCUGGACUCCUCACCAGUUUCUAACAUGAAUAACUGCUUCCCUUUGGUUUUUCUAUUGGCCACCUGAGCUCCCAGGCUGCUCAGAUCAAUGCUUGAUUUGUGCGUAGCUAGGGACUGUGAAUUUGUUUACCAUCAUUCUUUGCAUUUAUUUGUAUAUAGUUUACAGUUUAUAUUCCAUUUUAACCGCUUAAGUAUUUUUUAUUUUAUUAAAAUAUCCAUAAUAUUUAAAUUGGCUUAAUUGAUUAUUAUCUUAUGAACAUUUAGGUGAUAGCUUUCUAGUUUUUCUCUACAUACGUAGUAUGAAUAUUGUACAAUGUGAACAUGAACUUCAUAUAGUGUGAACAUUUUUGGUGUUAGUAAAUGUUAGCUGGAUCGUGAUUUUUAAUGACUGCAUCAUAUGGAUGUGACUUACCAGUCUCCAGUGGUUGAUAUUUAGGUUAUUUCCAAUUUUUCACUAUCAUAAAUAAUGCUAUACAUAUUAUACUUACAUAAAGUUUGCAUUUCAUAUUAUUUGCUUAUGAUAAACUCAGUUUUGGAAUUAUUAGGUCAAAGGGCCUAAACAUUUUAAAGACUUUUCAUACUACAUUGCCAAAUGGCUUUUGGAUAAAUUAUACAUACUUUUGGAUAAAUUAUAUAUUAGCACUGAAUGGUAUUUCCUGUUUCAUUGUAAUCUUAC
rnacentral:lncRNA from 10 species